rnacentral:lncRNA from 1 species
UAGCAAAAGAAAAAAUCUUUUUCUUUUUUCUUCUUUUCACGUAAACAACGAUGGAAAAGACGCACGUUCGCAACCCGCAAAGCAUUAGAAAGACACCGGUGAAAGACGCAGCUCAAGAGGGCGCUUUGCAGAAGAUGCUGGGAAAUGUAGUUCCUGGCGGCCGCGUGCGCAGGCGUACUUCCUGGCUUGGGAACCACAUCGCCCGACUGUGCUCUUUAUUUUUCCGUGGAGCAGCUCUGCUUUCUCAGGUCUCUACUUACUUAUAUAAGAUGGCAUCAAGAAGAAGGACCUGACCACUGGCCCCUGACUACAUGGUCUUUGAAAUAGUGUUUGGACCAUUUUUAAAUGGAGAGAAAUAAUGCUGAACUCGAGAAUAGGGGAGAGGCUAUAGUCCUAGCUCUGCCAGCGGCUAAUUGGGUGACCUUAGGCAAGUCAGUUCAUUACUGUUGGCUUGAGAUGUGUCCUGGGCAAACUGAAGAAAUUUGCCUUAAUGUUUC